GACGUAGGAUGCGAGCGUUGUCCGGAUUUAUUGGGCGUAAAGAGUUCGUAGGCGGUCUGUUAAGUCUGAUGUUAAAGAUCGGGGCUCAACCCCGGGAGUGCAUUGGAUACUGGCAGACUGGAGUGCGGUAGAGGUUAGUGGAAUUCCCAGUGUAGCGGUGAAAUGCGUAGAUAUUGGGAAGAACACCAGUGGCGUAGGCGACUAACUGGGCCGUAACUGACGCUGAGGAACGAAAGCCAGGGGAGCGAAUGGG
rnacentral:rRNA from 1 species